rnacentral:misc_RNA from 1 species
GGAACAUGAAGGAUUUUUCUGGGGUUUUCUGUACUUGGCUACGAAGCUUCUACAUUCAUUUGUUUUGUUUUUCUUUUCUGAACGUAGAAUUUGCACGAUUGUCACUAUGACUUUCUCACAACUGCAAAAUCAUAACUAGUGAACCACAACUUCGUCUAGACAAGAAAAAAAAAAUUAUUAUGGCAAAUAAUUAGGACUCGAAAAAUGCCAUAGAAACAGAUUAUAUUAAAGGAGCAGGAAGAAGAGAAUAGCCAAAACAAGAUGAUAAAUUACAAAAUCAUUUAAGGACGUUGAACCUAAUUCCUUUUACCCCGGUUUUUCCUUGAUGAAACAACCGUCCAUCCAUCUUCUCCUUGAGCCUCCUGGCCAUUGGGAUCAUCAACCUGCAUGUUCACCUGAUUUGAUUUCGACUGAAAUUUUGGUGCAUCAACUAUCAUUCUUGAUCUAUCAUCCAUCCUAUCAUCAUUGUCAU